rnacentral:misc_RNA from 1 species
AAGUCGUAACAAGGUUUCCGUAGGUGAACCUGCGGAAGGAUCAUUACCGAGUUAGGGUUCCUCUCCAGGGCCCGACCUCCCAACCCCUUGUUUAAUUAUACCCAUCUGUUGCUUCGGCGGGCCGGUCUACCCUGACCGCCGGAGGGUGCCUCCCGGGCCCCUCUGGAGAGUUUCGCCCGCCGACGGCCCCCCAAACCAAAACUCUUGAACCCAACCGUGAUGCCUAAAUCGAUUUUAUUGUAUAAUUACAACAAAAAACAAAACUUUCAACAACGGAUCUCUUGGUUCUG